rnacentral:tRNA from 1 species
GCCCCCGUUGUCUAAUGGCUAUGACGUCAGAUUUCUACCGUGGCUUAAACCACAAAUACCUGGAGGUUGCGGGUUCGAGUCCCGCCGGGGGUA